rnacentral:rRNA from 1 species
AGAGUUUGAUCAUGGCUCAGAUUGAACGCUGGCGGCAGGCCUAACACAUGCAAGUCGAACGGUAACAGGAAGCAGCUUGCUGCUUUGCUGACGAGUGGCGGACGGGUGAGUAAUGUCUGGGAAACUGCCUGAUGGAGGGGGAUAACUACUGGAAACGGUAGCUAAUACCGCAUAACGUCGCAAGACCAAAGAGGGGGACCUUCGGGCCUCUUGCCAUCGGAUGUGCCCAGAUGGGAUUAGCUUGUUGGUGGGGUAACGGCUCACCAAGGCGACGAUCCCUAGCUGGUCUGAGAGGAUGACCAGCCACACUGGAACUGAGACACGGUCCAGACUCCUACGGGAGGCAGCAGUGGGGAAUAUUGCACAAUGGGCGCAAGCCUGAUGCAGCCAUGCCGCGUGUAUGAAGAAGGCCUUCGGGUUGUAAAGUACUUUCAGCGGGGAGGAAGGGAGUAAAGUUAAUACCUUUACUCAUUGACGUUACCCGCAGAAGAAGCACCGGCUAACUCCGUGCCAGCAGCCGCGGUAAUACGGAGGGUGCAAGCGUUAAUCGGAAUUACUGGGCGUAAAGCGCACGCAGGCGGUUUGUUAAGUCAGAUGUGAAAUCCCCGGGCUCAACCUGGGAACUGCAUCUGAUACUGGCAAGCUUGAGUCUCGUAGAGGGGGGUAGAAUUCCAGGUGUAGCGGUGAAAUGCGUAGAGAUCUGGAGGAAUACCGGUGGCGAAGGCGGCCCCCUGGACGAAGACUGACGCUCAGGUGCGAAAGCGUGGGGAGCAAACAGGAUUAGAUACCCUGGUAGUCCACGCCGUAAACGAUGUCGACUUGGAGGUUGUGCCCUUGAGGCGUGGCUUCCGGAGCUAACGCGUUAAGUCGACCGCCUGGGGAGUACGGCCGCAAGGUUAAAACUCAAAUGAAUUGACGGGGGCCCGCACAAGCGGUGGAGCAUGUGGUUUAAUUCGAUGCAACGCGAAGAACCUUACCUGGUCUUGACAUCCACGGAAUUUCAGAGAUGAGAAUGUGCCUUCGGGAACCGUGAGACAGGUGCUGCAUGGCUGUCGUCAGCUCGUGUUGUGAAAUGUUGGGUUAAGUCCCGCAACGAGCGCAACCCUUAUCCUUUGUUGCCAGCGGUCCGGCCGGGAACUCAAAGGAGACUGCCAGUGAUAAACUGGAGGAAGGUGGGGAUGACGUCAAGUCAUCAUGGCCCUUACGACCAGGGCUACACACGUGCUACAAUGGCGCAUACAAAGAGAAGCGACCUCGCGAGAGCAAGCGGACCUCAUAAAGUGCGUCGUAGUCCGGAUUGGAGUCUGCAACUCGACUCCAUGAAGUCGGAAUCGCUAGUAAUCGUGGAUCAGAAUGCCACGGUGAAUACGUUCCCGGGCCUUGUACACACCGCCCGUCACACCAUGGGAGUGGGUUGCAAAAGAAGUAGGUAGCUUAACCUUCGGGAGGGCGCUUACCACUUUGUGAUUCAUGACUGGGGUGAAGUCGUAACAAGGUAACCGUAGGGGAACCUGCGGUUGGAUCACCU